AUUUGCUCCCUUGCUUUCCUUCUGGAGACCUUCUCUGAGGACUAGUGCUUGGGUUCUUGUCCUUCAGCAUUUCUGAUGAAAUAAGUAGGUUAAUUUUCAGCAGAAGUUCCCUGAGCUAACUGGCUGCAUAGUUUCCUGACUGCUCAUACUCAGAAGAGGCACACUAAGAUCUCUCAUCUGAGCAAGUACAGAGCUGCAUCUUCAGUCACAGCAGGCAUUCAGGUGAAUUGGAAGAUAAAUGGGUUAUAUAAGUUUGUGAAAGCCACACGAGUUAAGGAACUUUUCUGGGACAGUGACAGACUUCACUUAACACCUUGGAGACAUAGUAAAGAUCGGUUGCUGACGCACAAUAUUCCUCUGUCCACUGAUUCACAUCAGAUGAGCACUCUUUCUGUAGCCACAAGUGUCUGCAAGGCAGGGCAGCAGCUGCAGCACAGAAGCCUUUGGGAGAAUAUGGAUCUGGAGCUCAGAAUUAAGUGUAGCUCCUCAAAGAAUCAUUUCAGCAAUGUAUGAUGGUACCCUAUGUGUCACUGAGGAUGCACAGCAGGUCCACGUCUCUGGAGAAUCUCUGGCUUGUGGACUCAUGGAAUCCAGUCGGCAUGAAAGCAGCGUGACCUGCUGGGCAGUGCAUCUAUAAGCUACAUGUCUGGCUCUGAAUUCAAGCAAGGAAGGCAUGAUCUCACCCUAAGACUGGAGAUCCUGGCUCUGUAGAUCAACUUGUCAUCUCACAUAGUCCGUUUCUGGCGACUCAGUCUGAGUGCUCUGCACAGGAGAAUGGUGCAUUUGAAAGAGAACAUCGGGUAACGAGGCAAGCCUGGCUUCUGACCAAAAAGAAAGACUGCAAUCCAUUGCUGUGUUUGGAGCAUCUGACACACAAAUGGGAGUCCUGGGGCAUCAGAAGUGGGACUGGCUGACAAUGAUAUUUACAAUGUCAUUGUUCAAUUGACAGCCCUGUAAUGUAGCUUUGCUCCUUUAUGAACCAACCAAAACCCUUCAGUCAUUUCUUGAGAAUGACUCUAAAGUCUUUAAUUUAACUUGAUUUUUGUACAGCUAUUUGAAAAAUAAAUAAUUCAUAUAGUUUAACAAUUA